rnacentral:misc_RNA from 1 species
CUAGUAUGCAGAGCAUCCACAACGCCAUCAAAACUCUCAAACCUGCCACUCACAACAUCAACAUCCACGCUCAGCCUCUCAGCACCAGCUGCCGUGACUGGCCCAUGUGCCGCCACCACCAAAUCCGGCCACCGCCGCCUCACCGUCCUCCAAUCCCCCCCAAACUCACUCAAGCUCUUCAACAACCCUUCCACUUCCGCACUACUCGUGAACACCACUGCGUCUAAUCCAUUUCCUUCCUUUUCACUCUUUUCCACUAUUCCCUACGCACAGGUAGNNNNNNAGUCUCGUAAGCAUCCACCCUAACAGGAGCCCACCCCGCUGCCUGCAGAUCCCGGAGAAAGUUUGGAACCACCGGAGGCUCCUCCAGUCCGACUACCUGCGGAACUAGACACAUCACCCCCCGACCGCGUCCAGCCCCCAGCGAUUGCACCAGCCCACUCGGCGUCGCCGUUGGAGGAACUACAACCCUAAUCCUAUCGAUAUUAGAACAAAUAUUAAGCAAAAAUU